GGCCUUGACAUACUAAGAACUUUCCAGAGAUGGAUUGGUGCCUUCGGGAACUUAGAUACAGGUGCUGCAUGGCUGUCGUCAGCUCGUGUCGUGAGAUGUUGGGUUAAGUCCCGNAACGAGCGCAACCCUUUUCCUAUUUGCCAGCGGGUAAUGCCGGGAACUUUAAGGAUACUGCCAGUGACAAACUGGAGGAAGGCGGGGACGACGUCAAGUCAUCAUGGCCCUUACGGCCAGGGCUACACACGUGCUACAAUGGUCGGUACAAAGGGUUGCUACCUCGCGAGAGGAUGCUAAUCUCAAAAAGCCGAUCGUAGUCCGGAUCGCAGUCUGCAACUCGACUGCGUGAAGUCGGAAUCGCUAGUAAUCGCGGAUCAGAAUGCCGCGGUGAAUACGUUCCCGGGCCUUGUACACACCGCCCGUCACACCAUGGGAGUUUGUUGCACCAGAAGUAGGUAGUCUAACCGCAAGGAGGACGCUUACCACGGUGUGGCCGAUGACUGAGGUGAAGUCGUAACAAGGUAGGCGUAGAUGA
rnacentral:rRNA from 1 species